AGAGUUUGAUCCUGGCUCAGGACGAACGCUGGCGGCGCGCCUAACACAUGCAAGUCGAACGAGCGAGAGAGAGCUUGCUUUCUCGAGCGAGUGGCGAACGGGUGAGUAACGCGUGAGGAACCUGCCUCAAAGAGGGGGACAACAGUUGGAAACGACUGCUAAUACCGCAUAAGCCCACGACCCGGCAUCGGGUUGAGGGAAAAGGAGCAAUCCGCUUUGAGAUGGCCUCGCGUCCGAUUAGCUAGUUGGUGAGGUAACGGCCCACCAAGGCGACGAUCGGUAGCCGGACUGAGAGGUUGAACGGCCACAUUGGGACUGAGACACGGCCCAGACUCCUACGGGAGGCAGCAGUGGGGAAUAUUGCACAAUGGGGGAAACCCUGAUGCAGCGACGCCGCGUGGAGGAAGAAGGUCUUCGGAUUGUAAACUCCUGUUGUUGAGGAAGAUAAUGACGGUACUCAACAAGGAAGUGACGGCUAACUACGUGCCAGCAGCCGCGGUAAAACGUAGGUCACAAGCGUUGUCCGGAAUUACUGGGUGUAAAGGGAGCGCAGGCGGGAAGACAAGUUGGAAGUGAAAUCUAUGGGCUCAACCCAUAAACUGCUUUCAAAACUGUUUUUCUUGAGUAGUGCAGAGGUAGGCGGAAUUCCCGGUGUAGCGGUGGAAUGCGUAGAUAUCGGGAGGAACACCAGUGGCGAAGGCGGCCCACUGGGCACCAACUGACGCUGAGGCUCGAAAGUGUGGGUAGCAACAGGAUUAGAUACCCUGGUAGUCCACACCGUAAACGAUGAUUACUAGGUGUUGGAGGAUUGACCCCUUCAGUGCCGCAGUUAACACAAUAAGUAAUCCACCUGGGGAGUACGACCGCAAGGUUGAAACUCAAAGGAAUUGACGGGGGCCCGCACAAGCAGUGGAGUAUGUGGUUUAAUUCGACGCAACGCGAAGAACCUUACCAAGUCUUGACAUCCUGCGACGCACAUAGAAAUAUGUGUUUCCUUCGGGACGCAGAGACAGGUGGUGCAUGGUUGUCGUCGGCUCGUGUCGUGAGAUGUUGGGUUAAGUCCCGCAACGAGCGCAACCCUUACUGUCAGUUACUACGCAAGAGGACUCUGGCAGGACUGCCGUUGACAAAACGGAGGAAGGUGGGGAUGACGUCAAAUCAUCAUGCCCUUUAUGACUUGGGCUACACACGUACUACAAUGGCGUUAAACAAAGAGAAGCAAGACCGCGAGGUGGAGCAAAACUCAGAAACAACGUCCCAGUUCGGACUGCAGGCUGCAACUCGCCUGCACGAAGUCGGAAUUGCUAGUAAUCGUGGAUCAGCAUGCCACGGUGAAUACGUUCCCGGGCCUUGACACACCGCCCGUCA
rnacentral:rRNA from 1 species